rnacentral:rRNA from 1 species
UACGGGGGGAGCGAGCGUUGUUCGGAAUCACUGGGCGUAAAGGGCGCGUAGGCGGUCGAGUAAGUCAGGGGUGAAAUGCCAGGGCUUAACCUUGGAAUUGCCCUUGAUACUGCUUGGCUGGAGGGCGGAAGAGGAUAGUGGAAUUCCUGGUGUAGCGGUGAAAUGCGUAGAUAUCAGGAAGAACACCGGUGGCGAAGGCGGCUAUCUGGUCCGCUACUGACGCUGAUGCGCGAAAGCCAGGGGAGCAAACGGG